rnacentral:rRNA from 1 species
GACGAACGCUGGCGGCGUGCUUAACACAUGCAAGUCGAACGGAAAGGCCCUGCUUUUGUGGGGUGCUCGAGUGGCGAACGGGUGAGUAACACGUGAGUAACCUGCCCUUGACUUUGGGAUAACUUCAGGAAACUGGGGCUAAUACCGGAUAGGAGCUCCUGCUGCUUGGUGGGGGUUGGAUAGUUUCGGCGGUUGGGGAUGGACUCGCGGCUUAUCAGCUUGUUGGUGGGGUAGUGGCUUACCAAGGCCUUGACGGGUAGCCGGGCUGAGAGGGUGACCGGACAAGUUGGAACGGAACUACGACCCAGACUCGAACGGGAGGCAGCAGUGGAGAGUAUGACACAAGGGGCUGAAGCCUGAUGCAGUACCGCCGCGCGGGGUAUGACAGCCUUCGGUUUGUAAACCGCUUUCGCCUGUGACGAAGCGUUAGUGACGGUAAUGGGUAAAGAAGCACCGGCUAACUACGUG